rfam:Vigna radiata var. radiata cultivar VC1973A scaffold_70, whole genome shotgun sequence
AUCUGAUGGUGAGGACAACUGUCACAAAUCUUCUUGAAUCUCUCCCAAUACUCAUAUAAGCUCUCUCCACCAAGCUGCCUAAUCCCAGUGAUGUCUUUUCUGAUAGCU